rnacentral:rRNA from 1 species
GACGAACGCUGGCGGCACGCUUAACACAUGCAAGUCGAACGAGAGAAGAGAAGCUUGCUUUUCUGAUCUAGUGGCGGACGGGUGAGUAACACGUGAGCAAUCUGCCUUUCAGAGGGGGAUACCGAUUGGAAACGAUCGUUAAUACCGCAUAACAUAAUUGAACCGCAUGAUUUGAUUAUCAAAGAUUUAUCGCUGAAAGAUGAGCUCGCGUCUGAUUAGCUAGUUGGUAAGGUAACGGCUUACCAAGGCGACGAUCAGUAGCCGGACUGAGAGGUUGAUCGGCCACAUUGGGACUGAGACACGGCCCAGACUCCUACGGGAGGCAGCAGUGGGGAAUAUUGCACAAUGGAGGAAACUCUGAUGCAGCGAUGCCGCGUGAGGGAAGAAGGUUUUAGGAUUGUAAACCUCUGUUUUCAGGGACGAAAAAAGACGGUACCUGAGGAGGAAGCUCCGGCUAACUACGUGCCAGCAGCCGCGGUAAUACGUAGGGAGCGAGCGUUGUCCGGAAUUACUGGGUGUAAAGGGAGCGUAGGCGGGAUCGCAAGUCAGAUGUGAAAACUAUGGGCUUAACCCAUAAACUGCAUUUGAAACUGUGGUUCUUGAGUGAAGUAGAGGUAAGCGGAAUUCCUAGUGUAGCGGUGAAAUGCGUAGAUAUUAGGAGGAACAUCAGUGGCGAAGGCGGCUUACUGGGCUUUAACUGACGCUGAGGCUCGAAAGCGUGGGGAGCAAACAGGAUUAGAUACCCUGGUAGUCCACGCCGUAAACGAUGAUUACUAGGUGUGGGGGGAGUGACCCCCUCCGUGCCGCAGCAAACGCAAUAAGUAAUCCACCUGGGGAGUACGACCGCAAGGUUGAAACUCAAAGGAAUUGACGGGGGCCCGCACAAGCAGUGGAGUAUGUGGAUUAAUUUGAAGCAACGCGAAGAACCUUACCAGGUCUUGACAUCGUAUGCAUAGCUCAGAGAUGAGUGAAAUCUCUUCGGAGACAUAUAGACAGGUGGUGCAUGGUUGUCGUCAGCUCGUGUCGUGAGAUGUUGGGUUAAGUCCCGCAACGAGCGCAACCCUUACUGUUAGUUGCUACGCAAGAGCACUCUAGCAGGACUGCCGUUGACAAAACGGAGGAAGGUGGGGAUGACGUCAAAUCAUCAUGCCCCUUAUGACCUGGGCCUCACACGUACUACAAUGGCUGUCAACAGAGGGAUGCAAAGCCGCGAGGUGGAGCGAACCCCUAAAAGCAGUCUUAGUUCGGAUUGUAGGCUGCAACCCGCCUACAUGAAGUCGGAAUUGCUAGUAAUCGCAGAUCAGCAUGCUGCGGUGAAUAAGUUCCCGGGCCUUGCAC